rnacentral:misc_RNA from 1 species
UUUAUAUCUGUUUCCAAAGCCACAAAUUUUUUCAGAGCCGACUGUGAGGGUUCCUAAUUUUCCCUCAUUUUCUCUCUGCCCAAAUUUCCUCUGCUGUUUGGAUCUUCAUAUCAAUCAGGUAAAUAUUUAUAUCCUAUUGCCGCUUGCUUUAUUUUCCACUUGUUCCCCUAGAAAAGUUUGGUUAAUUGAUUUUUUUGUAGCCGUCUCUGGCCGUUUAUGUUUGCAUCUCUUCCAUGCUUAUCUUUUUUAAUAGCACUAAAAGGCUAUUUGCUGCAAAGAAGAUGAGUUUUCGGCAAGCUAUUCUAAACUUUGUUUGGACAAACAUCUUGAAGACGAUAAGAUAAGAAUUAAGGUUGUGAUUUUUUUUGGGUCUGAGUUGGAAUUUUGAAAUAUUAUAGUUGCAGCAAUUAUUGAUGACUUGGUUGCUGCAAAAUACUUCUUGCUGUAGGUUGGAUGAUUAUUAAAUAGGCUAAACACUAUGGUAAUUAUAGCAAUUUGCUUCAUUAAAUAUGUAUUGGAUUUGAAAAUAUUUUGCAGCUGGAAUUGUGCCCUUCACUCUUCUUAUCUCAGAACUUGUUGUCUUGGAAAUGCUACAUAAGUAAUUGUUACUUGCAUAAUUUCAAGAAGAAAGACCCCAAUACGUGCAGUUAGCUAUGUGCUUUGCUUUGUGUUUGGUACUAAUGGGUUAGGUUGCUUGUUUUCUUUCUUUUCUCCUUAAGUGCAUCAUAUUGCUUUGUGUUCUGUCCAAAAAUAUUUAUUAUUAUCGUUAUUAUUCUGUCUUAUUUUCACCAGCCAUGGCUGAGGAAGCAGGCAUGUUUGUAAUUCGCCAAACCAUUGGAAGUGUUUUAUGUUGUAAAUGUGGCGUACCAAUACAACCAAAUGCUGCCAAUAUGUGUGUUAAGUGUUUGCGUUCAGAAGUAGACAUCACUGAAGGUUUGCAGAAGCAUGUAAUCAUUAGACAUUGCCCUGAAUGUGAUAGCUACUUGCAACCACCAAGCACUUGGAUUAAGGCCCAAUUAGAAUCCAAGGAGCUGUUGACUUACUGUAUAAAAAGACUGAAUUUGAAAGAAGUUAGGAUGGUACAUGCAGAAUUUGUUUGGACUGAGCCACACUCCAAGAGGAUCAAGGUCAGGCUGAGGGUUCAAAAAGAGGUUCUUAAUGGAGCAAUACUUGAACAAGCAUAUGUUGUUGAAUAUGUUCAGCAAGAAUCCAUGUGUGAAUCUUGCUCAAGGAUUCAGGCCAACCCUGAUCAGUGGGUUGCUUCUGUCCAAGUCCGGCAGCAUGUUCCUCACAGGCGAACUUUCUUUUAUUUGGAACAGCUAAUUUUGAAGCAUGAUGCUGCAGUCCGCGCAAUUAAGAUCAAGCAGAUGGAACAAGGUAUUGAUUUUUUCUUUGCAAAUCGAAGUCAUGGGGUGAAAUUUGUUGAAUUUGUGGGUAAAGUUGCUCCAGUGAGGAGUCGCCAUGACAAGCAACUUGUCUCUCAUGAUCCUAAGAGCAACAACUAUAAUUACAAAUAUACUUUCUCUGUUGAAAUCUCCCCAAUUUGCCGUGAAGAUUUGAUCUGCCUGCCUCCAAAAGUUGCAGUAAGUUUGGGGAAUCUUGGUCCCCUUGUAAUCUGCACAAGAGUGACAAACAGCAUUGCUCUACUGGAUCCUUUUAGUCUUAGACAGUGCUACUUGGAUGCUGAUCAGUAUUGGAGGGCAUCCUUUAAGUCUCUACUCACUAGCCGGCAACUUGUGGAGUAUAUCGUAUUGGAUGUUGAAAUUAUUUCUCCUGAAGUUAAUAUUGGUGGCUCAAGGUAUGCUUUAGCAGAGGUCCAAGUUGCCCGUCUGUCAGACUUUGGGAAGAAUGAUACUAUUUUCUUUAUAAAAACACAUUUGGGCCAUAUUUUGAAACCUGGUGAUCAGGCCCUUGGUUAUGACCUAUAUGGCGCUAACAGCAAUGAUAUUGAGCUGGACAAGUAUAAAGGGCUGGUCCUCCCUGAAGCAAUUUUGAUAAAGAAGAGCUAUGAGGAGAAACGCCAGAGAAAACGUGGGAAGCCUCGCACCUGGAAGCUCAAGUCACUGAACAUGGAAGUUGAUGACUCAAGAGGUAGACACGACCAGGAAAAGGCGAACGUGGAAUAUGAAGAGUUCUUGAGGGAUCUGGAAGAGAACCCAGAGUUGAGGUUCAAUAUAUCAUUGUAUCGUAAUAAAGAAUAUCAGCCUUCAGAGAUGGCAUCCGUGACUGAUGGGGAUGAUUUACCUUCUGUUCCAUUGGAAGAGUUGCUUGCUGAUCUUGAUAUAAGCGAUAUGGAAGAUGGGGAUUAUGACAUGAGGGAAUGAGUGUUGGUUAUUUUAAUUUUUGCUUGAAAUGAUCCUUAAUUGAGUGGCUUUGUAUUAUUUUCUAUGCUUUUCUUUUAAGCUUUACAUCAAAAGUUCUCUCAACAAAUGAUGCUUGCAGAACGAUUUGUUUCAUUUUAUUGUUAUGUCGCUUAUGAUCAGAUCCAGC